rnacentral:lncRNA from 1 species
CCCCAACGCGUGCCGUGGAGGCCGCCUCUCCUGCGCCGCCGGGGCGUCGCCCCGCCCUUCUGGACAGAUUGCUCCGGGCGACUAUUGUGUUGACCAGUUUGAUUAUAUGAUGGUGAAAACUCGAACACCUUUCUGAAGAUUUAUUCUUCAUACAUUCAAUGCAUUUGCUGGUUCAGACUUCAAACUGAUGUGGACACAACGAUGUCUAAGAUCCGCUCAAUUUUUCUGCUUCAAAUUGAAACAGAUUUAAUGUAUUCAGUAUAUGUUCAUUUUCUUCACAGGAGCUGUUUGCUUGACCUUGUGCACGGUACCAAAAAGCUGCAGCAGCAGAAUUUUUCGUCCGAGGAAAUCAAUACACUUGAGAAGAACUUCUGACAUAUUUCUUUCAGGUAAAGCAUUACUAAUAUGUUAAGUACACAAGUGAAGUUUG